rnacentral:lncRNA from 1 species
AUGAAUGGCAAUCUUGCAGCUGGCCAACAACUAGGAGUUGGUGGUGAAUGUGCCAACGUAGCCGAAACCCAUGACGACAAAUGCAAAUGCUUGAAGGUAGAUGUACACAUAGUAGUAGUUCACUCCGAAGGUAACAUUGUAGGAAGCACAGCACAUGAGGAAGACCGCAAACCCGAGCUGCAAGAAGCUCACCCUGAGAUCCAAAAAGAGAUGGUAAUGUUGAUAUGGUAUUCGUUUGCAUCUCCAGAAGCUAUGUAACAUUUGCUUACCUGUCUCUUAUGAAGCUUGUUCUUGUGGAUUCUGCAACAUUGGUUUCCAUCUUCUCUUUCAGGGUGUCUCCAAGCUUCUGUGUCACAACCCAUUCAUUUACGCUUGCUGUCUCCAGUAGACCGAUCAAGGCUGCUUUCAUCCGGUGCAUGGACAUGACGUUCUCAAACAAAAUCCAGAAUGGCAUUAUGUGAAGGGAGCUGCGACGAAGAGAGGGCAUAUCAGGGAAGAAAGUUCUGAUCAAGGGGUAUGUUCAUCAGUAAAGAUUGAUACCUGGGAUUUCUGAUGGCAUUGAGAACGGUAAUUGUUGUAGGGAUGUAGACCACCCCCCAUAUCGGAAUGCUUACUUCUGGUACUACAACUGAUACUGGAAUCACGAUGCAGUAGAAUGCAAAGGUGACGAUCGGCGCCACAACUCUUCUAACAAAGAAGAAACUGUAGAUCACAUGGAUUUUCUUCAACAGGGAUACCUCCUGCUCCAUAACAAAGAGACAAGUCUCAGGGAAGUAAGAUCGACCGAUGUAUGCUUGUUUACUUGAAGAAGGCUUCUGCUACCUUUGCGAGUACAAUGUCGCGUGCCAUUUUUCUAAAUAAGUUGGCAGCUCCACAGGUCCAUCGAUGCUGUUGAUGUCGGUAAGCCUUGAAGGUACUUGGGAGUUCGCUUCUG